AUUGAACGCUGGCGGCAGGCCUAACACAUGCAAGUCGAGCGAGCGGCGGAGGGGGGAGAAAUGUAUGGGGACUGCCCGAUAGAGGGGGGUAAAUCCUGGAAAAGGUGGCUAAUACAGCAUACGGUCGGAUAACCCAUAUGGGAUUAGCUAGUAGGUAAGGUAAUGGCUUACCUAGGCGACGAUCCCUAGCUGGUCUGAGAGGAUGAUCAGCCACACUGGGACUGAGACACGGCCCAGACUCCUACGGAGGCAGCAGUGGGGAAUAUUGCACAAUGGGCGCAAGCCUGAUGUAGCCAUGCCGCGUGUAUGAAGAAGGCCUUCGGGUUGUAAAGUACUUUCAGUCGGGAGGCGUUACCCGCAGAAGAAGCACCGGCUAACUCCGUGCCAGCCGCCGCGGUAAUUC
rnacentral:rRNA from 1 species